GUAGGCGCACUGGGAAAACUGCUUGUGCUAUGUCUGGUUUUCAUGUGGUUAAGAAAACUUGAACUCUGAUCCUCAUGCUUGCACCACUGAACCAUUCCCAGUCCCUUGGACAUUUCUUGACUAAUGUUAAAAUUUGGUUUUCUAGAAGCAAAUUCUCGGUGUCAAACACCAAUAAAGAUGAAGCCAAAUAUUGAACCUCCUGAGAAUGUGGAGUGGAGUGGUGCUGAAGCCUCCAUGUUUAGAGUCCUCAUUGGUACUUACUACGAUAACUUUUGUGCCAUUGCUAGGCUAAUUGGGACCAAAACAUGUAGACAGGUGUAUGAGUUUAGAGUCAAAGAGUCCAGUAUCAUAGCACCUGUUCCCACUGAGGAUGUGGACACUCCUCCAAGAAAGAAGAAAAGAAAACAUCG
rnacentral:lncRNA from 1 species